AUGAGUUGUCUUUGACCAGUGUCUGCCGGCAGAUCCCCCGCCGUUGUGCGGCCGACUCUCGGCGCCUGUGUCCUAUCGAUGUUGCACGGACGGCUCUUACUUUGCUGCCUUACCGGAAUGUGCUUGCAUGAUGAUCCCUGACCAACAGGAAGUCGUGUGUCGUGUAGAGUUGCCUCGCGGUGGAUGCCUGCUGGUGUUCUGCUGUGGCCAAAUUGCGUUGGUGGUGUUACCUCGUGGAGCCUGCACGCUAUGCGCCUGGAGCUUCCGAGGACACCUCGCUUCCCGCUCUUGGUCUCGGAUGUCGCUCAUGAUAGAGGCUCGUGGCCCUUUGUCGUCGCGUCCCUUUCGGAAGCUCACUCAAUAGCCGACAGCUGCUCUGUUUGUGGCCGUUGCCAUGCCUUGUAAGCGGCUGGCAUGUGCGACUCUCGGUGUCGGCUUGUCGACGAGGACGUGCUACCUGGUUGAUCCUGCCA
rnacentral:misc_RNA from 1 species